rnacentral:rRNA from 1 species
GAUGAACGCUGGCGGCGUGCCUAAUACAUGCAAGUCGAGCGAACGGACGAGAAGCUUGCUUCUCUGAUGUUAGCGGCGGACGGGUGAGUAACACGUGGAUAACCUACCUAUAAGACUGGGAUAACUUCGGGAAACCGGAGCUAAUACCGGAUAAUAUUUUGAACCGCAUGGUUCAAAAGUGAAAGACGGUCUUGCUGUCACUUAUAGAUGGAUCCGCGCUGCAUUAGCUAGUUGGUAAGGUAACGGCUUACCAAGGCAACGAUGCAUAGCCGACCUGAGAGGGUGAUCGGCCACACUGGAACUGAGACACGGUCCAGACUCCUACGGGAGGCAGCAGUAGGGAAUCUUCCGCAAUGGGCGAAAGCCUGACGGAGCAACGCCGCGUGAGUGAUGAAGGUCUUCGGAUCGUAAAACUCUGUUAUUAGGGAAGAACAUAUGUGUAAGUAACUGUGCACAUCUUGACGGUACCUAAUCAGAAAGCCACGGCUAACUACGUGCCAGCAGCCGCGGUAAUACGUAGGUGGCAAGCGUUAUCCGGAAUUAUUGGGCGUAAAGCGCGCGUAGGCGGUUUUUUAAGUCUGAUGUGAAAGCCCACGGCUCAACCGUGGAGGGUCAUUGGAAACUGGAAAACUUGAGUGCAGAAGAGGAAAGUGGAAUUCCAUGUGUAGCGGUGAAAUGCGCAGAGAUAUGGAGGAACACCAGUGGCGAAGGCGACUUUCUGGUCUGUAACUGACGCUGAUGUGCGAAAGCGUGGGGAUCAAACAGGAUUAGAUACCCUGGUAGUCCACGCCGUAAACGAUGAGUGCUAAGUGUUAGGGGGUUUCCGCCCCUUAGUGCUGCAGCUAACGCAUUAAGCACUCCGCCUGGGGAGUACGACCGCAAGGUUGAAACUCAAAGGAAUUGACGGGGACCCGCACAAGCGGUGGAGCAUGUGGUUUAAUUCGAAGCAACGCGAAGAACCUUACCAAAUCUUGACAUCCUUUGACAACUCUAGAGAUAGAGCUUUCCCCUUCGGGGGACAAAGUGACAGGUGGUGCAUGGUUGUUGUCAGCUCGUGUCGUGAGAUGUUGGGUUAAGUCCCGCAACGAGCGCAACCCUUAAGCUUAGUUGCCAUCAUUAAGUUGGGCACUCUAAGUUGACUGCCGGUGACAAACCGGAGGAAGGUGGGGAUGACGUCAAAUCAUCAUGCCCCUUAUGAUUUGGGCUACACCCGUUGCUACAAUGGACAAUACAAAGGGCAGCGAAACCGCGAGGUCAAGCAAAUCCCACAAAGUUGUUCUCAGUUCGGAGAGUCGUGUGCCACCUCGACUACAUGAAGCUGGAAUCGCUUGUAAUCGUAGAUCAGCAUGCUCCGGCUGAAUAUUUUCCAGGGUCU